rnacentral:lncRNA from 1 species
CCGUCUGUCUCUCUACUGGAUCUGGAUCGGCUCCCGUGACUCUUUCUCCCUCUGUUGGUAAGGACGCACUAGCUCCGCUACUACAUUUUGCAGUGAAGAAUCAAGCAGAAUCCAAUUCAAUCCAGGUGGAUCUCUAUCUUUGUGGCCUUUUGUGCAGAUCCGGCAUGGAGGUCAAACCUGGCGUCGGUUUGUCUUAGCGGAGCAGCCGUGUGGUGGCCGGUCUACGGCAUGGCUCAUUGGAGGUAGCAGCGACAGCGGCAUCGCAGUUUCCUUCCCCGUCCAUGAGGUCUGAUCUCCCGCCCGCCCCCUUCACUGGUGACUUGUUCUUGUUUUUUUUCAUUUUACUUUGGACUAAUCUCAUAGCUUCUUGGUCAGUUCGUCUUUUAUCUUCCGUGACCACGAGAUAAUUUUCACGAAUUAGUAUUUUAAUUGAUUUUGGUCUGUGGCUACCUAAUUCUAGAGAUGGAAUAGAAUAGAAUAGGUUGAGGGGAUCGAUCUGAAACUGAGUAGGCACAUAUUUCAGUGUAGGUUAGUCGGUGGUUUUGGAGCAAAAUUGUACGCCCCGAAAGAAAUAUCUACACACGGGAGAGAAAAAGAAAAUGGUAUUUCGAAACAUCUGAACGACAUUUCAAUGCAACGGGAGC